rnacentral:rRNA from 1 species
ACUGCUCAGUAACACGUGGAUAACCUGCCCUUAGGUCUGGCAUAACCCCGGGAAACUGGGGAUAAUUCCGGAUAGAUCAUGGAUGCUGGAAUGCCCUGUGAUCCAAAGCUUUUGUGCCUAAGGAUGGGUCUGCGGUCUAUCAGGUUGUAGUGGGUGUAACGUACCUACUAGCCUACGACGGAUACGGGUUGUGGGAGCAAGAGCCCGGAGAUGGAUUCUGAGACAUGAAUCCAGGCCCUACGGGGCGCAGCAGGCGCGAAAACUUUACAAUGCGGGAAACCGCGAUAAGGGGACACCGAGUGCCAGCAUCCUAUGUUGGCUGUCCAUAUGUCUAAAUCACAUGUGUUAGCAAGGGCCGGGCAAGACCGGUGCCAGCAGCCGCGGUAAUACGAU